ensembl:lncRNA
UUCUCGGACCGUGUUUGUUCCUAAUCAUUCCUGAGUCUAAUCAUCAAAGCCUGUUGUGCGCUCUGAUUAAUUAGUGGACCGUCCUGUGCACACUGAGCACGUGCAGAGCGCUCAGCAGAGACGAGGUGCACCUUUUGGCUCUGCUCCCAGACCUGUUGUUCUGUUUGCGAUUUACCGCUCCAUCACAGCCGGUGUCUGCCACACACGCACUGUGCGUUCCCGCGUGGGACGGCUGUGUCAUCAGAGUCUGCCUCCGUCUCUCUCAGAUGCAGAUGUGCUAAUGGACGUAAUGGGGUUCAGUCGGAGCACCGUGAGUGGGUGAGUGGGCGGAUGGCAGAGGCCUGUCUAUAGUAACUGCAAUCAAAAAGCUUUGCUAGUUUUCGAGUGGCCCUCCUGGAGGAGUACGCCACCAAUUAGCGUGUGUGUGUGUCCGUCAGACGGAGCGCAGUGAUUCUAUUAGUCCCGGGAACAGAUGUUGCCCAGACCCACAGGGACAGGAAAUGCCUAGAGCUUCACGCGGGAGGAGGCAAUCUUUUACAACCCCCCUUGCCCAUCCCUAGGCUGCAUUUACACCGCGGGUCUUAAUGCCUCGUUUGAGGACGCGCAAAACAAGCGCCAAGCUAAACGCGUUGAAACCUUUUAGCAGGCAAACACAUUACUGACCGAACGGUUCAAGUGCUCCUCUACUGCUGCGCACUAAGGUUAGUUUACCAGCUAAGGCAAAGUGUAAUAACACCAUUUUUAAUACUUUGAUACUUAUUUUUGAGUUCAAAUAAAUAUCAAUAUGCUCUUCAAGGAAGGGCACCCGAAACUGGAGUGGCACUGUGGAGAAAUGUCUAAAAAAUUAUUAGAAAAUGAUCUACAUCAAUAAUAAUAAAACUGAAAGUUACAAGCAAAAGAAAGAGGGUGAGUUACAUCAACAGACUCCCUUGGGUGUGUGUGUGUGUGUGUGUGUGUUGCAGCUGCUGCUAUCUGAGGCCUGAGGGAGGAUGAUCAUCUCAAAGCCACGCCGCAAAAAUAACCAAAGAGGGAAAAUAAGCUAAUGCCCGAUAUAAUAACACACAUAUGCUGAACAAACACAAACACACACACACACACACACACACACACACACACACACACACACACACACACAAAGAGGCGGCUUGUAUUAAACUAAACCGGCACAAAGAGCGCUGUGAUGAAAUUAUCCCCGGCGACGGCGAGGAACUGAACACAAAGCCGGAGGCAAUCUACCCGAUGGAAUACAGCCAUCGAUAAUGUGCUUUAUGGGCAGUGGGGGGAGGCAGGAGUGCUGGGGGGGUAAUGUGAUUCCAGAGAUGGAGGGAGGGAGGAGCCGGUGUAGGAGGGCCGGGGGGGGUAAAGAGAUGCAGGUUGAAAGCCAAGAGUCGAGGCGCAACAAAAGUUUCAUGAAAUGCAAACAACCUUCAACCGUAGGCGACAUCAGCGGCGCAGCACCACGCGGUAUCGCAUUAGUCGAUGGCGGCGUGACAAACACAAGGUUAUGUCGGGCCAAUCGGGCUAAUGGAGCCACGGGGACACAUUCUGAAUCCUUUAGUCAUGCAAAGAGGAAAAGACAUGGGCCUCUUCUACUUGUUUCGCGGCUAAAGCGUCGCUGCCAGCGAGCGGAAGAAUGACUCCUCCGACCCGCCGCUUGGCUUCACGUGGAACCGGCCGGCCUGAACAGUUGCACCAGUCACCACGUGCUGAAACCGCCGACUGGCCUGGACCAGGACAUGCAGCGGUGGCUGUCCAGCGUUCGCUCCGUAGCCACGGUAACGACACGCGGCUGAGACAAGUCUGUGACUGACAGCAUGACAGAUGAGGGUGUGUGUGUAGAUGAGGAAGUCACAGCGCGCUCAGGUGACAGUAGAACAUCCUCGGGGAAGAAGAAAGGCACUUUCCCUCUCAGAGAACCCACUGCAGCGAGUCCGUGUUCAUGGAACAAAGAAAAUCGAUGCACAGUAUUGGGUCUGAACUCACUCAACUGCUUCCCGGCAGUGUGUGGAGAGUAUUUAGUUGGCAGAAACAUUACUAGCAGCGUUUGAUGCUCACUUCUUUGAGUUAAGAGGUAGGAAACCAAACAGUGAUGUUAGCUCAGCGGCUUUGAUGAAACGAAUGCUGAACAGAUGGAUGAAAGGCAAAGACGGGAUACACUGUGGGUUGAAAAUGGACUCGGAUGGGCACUGAAGCAGCAGCUUGGGUAUAUCUUAACUCAUAUUUUCCCGUCAUAAAACACUGCUUUUGGGGGUGAUGAGUACACACACUUUACCAACAGACACAAACACAUUCAGAAGCAUUUAUCCAAGAAACGGGCCUUCGAGACUCGCCGGCACCAUGAGGAUAGAUCCUCUUCUCUGAAUGUGUGAAUAACAGUGUGCGUGUCUGUGUGUAUACAAGCUUCAAGCUCAGUACACCGGUUUCUGUGACUGUGUGCGUGUGUGUAUUAAGCUGCUCCAUCGGGGGGGGGGGGCGACCAUAAUAACAGUUUUAGUCGAGCUAAAAACAUGCAAUUAACAGGAGGAUGCAGGGGAGCCGAGCUCCACCGGAGACAAUUAAAGCUGCUGCAGCAGCCGGCAGCUAUAAUUUAUUAUCAACACUGUGAAUAUUGAUGAGGAAACAGUGACAACCAAGAGAAUCCACGGAUGACAAACGCGGGUUGAAAUAGAAAAGGAAAACACAGAUAUUAGUCUUUCAAAUUGGGUGAAGAGAAAAAGGUGAUUCUGGCAUCGCUUUAUAACAGAAAGCCUAUCGAAGGAAAUCAUUUCAACCAAGUGGCUGCAAAUUCAUUUAAUUUGCCCGUGCGGGCGACCGAGCGCCUUCGACACAGCUGACCUUCCGGGGAACGGAGAGCGAGGGGGGGGGGAACCAAAAUGAAGGAAUCUGUCACAUUAGCAGUGUGCGCCCCACACGUUUUCAUAUAAGCUGCCGUGUCGGAAUAAUAACCCUAAUCCACAGCAGAGAUGUCUGCGGCCAGCUGCGAGCCAGCAGUUGACGGAGAAGCGCGACUGGCGGGCUACUCCGGCUGUCUGGUGGCGGCGUGAUAAGCCCAGCGGGGGGUAUUAGCGGUUGGCUAGCCGCACACUUCAGCUGGGCAGUUUGUCGCCACCACAGCGCUGCUUAAAGUCGAUAGACGAGGCCGUUCAUUUACACGAAACACGAUGCCGUUGCAGGUUCGCAAAUGGAACGAUCUAAUCUCUGGUUCAUUGUAAACUGGGCAUGGAAAAUGGCUUUCACCUUCAAUAAUGUGUUUUUGCCAUAUUUGUCAUUUCAUAGACAAAAUGAUACGUCGAUGAAAAAUAGAAUCACAAAUAAGGUUGGGGAAAAAAAAUGCGGAUUUUCCAUUCUAAAAGGAUUGAGGAUAUUUGGAUUCACCCGAUUACUGUGAUUUUCGUUUAUAACUUUCAAAUACAGUGGAGAUUUGUUUCAGGAUUGUUCAACAGAAUAGAAUGCAAUGGGUUGGUCACAGGAACAGCACGAAUAUUUUCAAUGGGAAUUGGUUAUAUAUAUAUAUAUAUAUAUAUAUAUAGCAGCACAUUGCCAUUUAAAUUAAAUUUGAAUGAAUUGUCGGCACCAGUUGCGGACAACAAAUGCAGGUCAGCGAGCUUCAGACCCGUAAGGAACGCAGAGUGGCUACACCACUUCCAGUCCAUCCAUUGUGUAUGGGUGUGUAUAUGUGUGUGUGUGUGUGUGUGUGCCAUCAGGGGGAUGACAUCCAUUUGGGCGACUGUGGGUGAGUGGGGAGCAGGUCAUCCUCCAAUCAGUUGGUUGUCGGUUCGAUCCCGGGCCCGGCUAAUCCGCAUGUUGACCUGUCCUUGGGCAAGACACUUAACCCAACAUUGCUCCUGUAGCUGCGACUACAGUGUGUGAAUGUUAGAUACUGAUGGGCAGGUGUCACUGUGUAUGGUUCUCCUGUCAUCAGGGUGUGAAUGGGUGAAUAAUGUCAUGUAGUGUUAAAGCGCUUUGAGUGGUCAGAAGACUAGAAAAGUUUUACCACUUGACGCCGUCUCACUGCUCAGGCCGUUAAAGGAAUCCACACUAAUUCCAGAACGGUGUGUUAACCUGCCGGUGGUGCAGAAUGGAGCAGCUGAUUGCCGUGAUGGCUGGUGAGGAUGUGGGGAAGCUGAAGGAUCUGCACUGAGUAGAGAAACGCCUCCAUCCGUGUGCAUCGUCUCUGCUCAUGUCCGACCAAACGGGGACAAACGGCGUCCCCUGUGCUGUCCCGUACAUUCGCACACCAGCGUUGGCGGUCCUGGCCGGUGGGGCCGCAGAGGGAGGCGGCCUUUAAGAGCCACAUGAAGCUGCCGUAAGUGAAUGAGCUAAUGGUCUGCCAGCGCCCCGAGGACACGUCCAGCGUCCUAAUGAAGGCUCUGCUGGGGAGACACUCUCCACUACAGAGAGGCUCACAGGGACUAGUAAGGCUCCGGGAGCGGGGGUCUGUCUUUUAGUGUGUGUGAGUGUGU